GGGCGUUAAGUUGCAGGGUAUAGACCCGAAACCCGGUGAUCUAGCCAUGGGCAGGUUGAAGGUUGGGUAACACUAACUGGAGGACCGAACCGACUAAUGUUGAAAAAUUAGCGGAUGACCUGUGGCUGGGGGUGAAAGGCCAAUCAAACCGGGAGAUAGCUGGUUCUCCCCGAAAGCUAUUUAGGUAGCGCCUCGUGAAUUCAUCUCCGGGGGUAGAGCACUGUUUCGGCUAGGGGGCCAUCCCGGCUUACCAACCCGAUGCAAACUGCGAAUACCGGAGAAUGUUAUCACGGGAGACACACGGCGGGUGCUAACGUCCGUCGUGAAGAGGGAAACAACCCAGACCGCCAGCUAAGGUCCCAAAGUCAUGGUUAAGUGGGAAACGAUGUGGGAAGGCCCAGACAGCCAGGAUGUUGGCUUAGAAGCAGCCAUCAUUUAAAGAAAGCGUAAUAGCUCACUGGUCGAGUCGGCCUGCGCGGAAGAUGUAACGGGGCUAAACCAUGCACCGAAGCUGCGGCAGCGACGCUGAUGCGUUGUUGGGUAGGGGAGCGUUCUGUAAGCCUGCGAAGGUGGCCUGUGAGGGUUGCUGGAGGUAUCAGAAGUGCGAAUGCUGACAUAAGUAACGAUAAAGCGGGUGAAAAGCCCGCUCGCCGGAAGACCAAGGGUUCCUGUCCAACGUUAAUCGGGGCAGGGUGAGUCGACCCCUAAGGCGAGGCCGAAAGGCGUAGUCGAUGGGAAACGGGUUAAUAUUCCCGUACUUGGUGUUACUGCGAAGGGGGGACGGAGAAGGCUAUGUUGGCCGGGCGACGGUUGUCCCGGUUUAAGCGUGUAGGUGUGUGUUCCAGGUAAAUCCGGUUCACUUUAACACUGAGGCGUGAUGACGAGGCACUACGGUGCUGAAGCAACAAAUGCCCUGCUUCCAGGAAAAGCCUCUAAGCAUCAGGUAACAUCAAAUCGUACCCCAAACCGACACAGGUGGUCAGGUAGAGAAUACCAAGGCGCUUGAGAGAACUCGGGUGAAGGAACUAGGCAAAAUGGUGCCGUAACUUCGGGAGAAGGCACGCUGACACGUAGGUGAAGUGAUUUACUCAUGGAGCUGAAGUCAGUCGAAGAUACCAGCUGGCUGCAACUGUUUAUUAAAAACACAGCACUGUGCAAACACGAAAGUGGACGUAUACGGUGUGACGCCUGCCCGGUGCCGGAAGGUUAAUUGAUGGGGUCAGCGCAAGCGAAGCUCCUGAUCGAAGCCCCGGUAAACGGCGGCCGUAACUAUAACGGUCCUAAGGUAGCGAAAUUCCUUGUCGGGUAAGUUCCGACCUGCACGAAUGGCGUAAUGAUGGCCAGGCUGUCUCCACCCGAGACUCAGUGAAAUUGAACUCGCUGUGAAGAUGCAGUGUACCCGCGGCAAGACGGAAAGACCCCGUGAACCUUUACUAUAGCUUGACACUGAACAUUGAGCCUUGAUGUGUAGGAUAGGUGGGAGGCUUUGAAGUGUGGACGCCAGUCUGCAUGGAGCCGGCCUUGAAAUACCACCCUUUAAUGUUUGAUGUUCUAACGUGGACCCGUGAUCCGGGUUGCGGACAGUGUCUGGUGGGUAGUUUGACUGGGGCGGUCUCCUCCUAAAGAGUAACGGAGGAGCACGAAGGUUGGCUAAUCCUGGUCGGACAUCAGGAGGUUAGUGCAAUGGCAUAAGCCAGCUUGACUGCGAGCGUGACGGCGCGAGCAGGUGCGAAAGCAGGUCAUAGUGAUCCGGUGGUUCUGAAUGGAAGGGCCAUCGCUCAACGGAUAAAAGGUACUCCGGGGAUAACAGGCUGAUACCGCCCAAGAGUUCAUAUCGACGGCGGUGUUUGGCACCUCGAUGUCGGCUCAUCACAUCCUGGGGCUGAAGUAGGUCCCAAGGGUAUGGCUGUUCGCCAUUUAAAGUGGUACGCGAGCUGGGUUUAGAACGUCGUGAGACAGUUCGGUCCCUAUCUGCCGUGGGCGCUGGAGAACUGAGGGGGGCUGCUCCUAGUACGAGAGGACCGGAGUGGACGCAUCACUGGUGUUCGGGUUGUCAUGCCAAUGGCACUGCCCGGUAGCUAAAUGCGGAAGAGAUAAGUGCUGAAAGCAUCUAAGCACGAAACUUGCCCCGAGAUGAGUUCUCCCUGAGACU
rnacentral:rRNA from 1 species